rnacentral:rRNA from 1 species
GAAGGGGGCUAGCGUUGUUCGGAAUUACUGGGCGUAAAGCGAGUGUAGGCGGUUGUCAUAGUCAGGUGUGAAAGCCUUUAGCUCAACUCAAGAAAUGCACUUGAUACUGGGCGACUAGAGGACCGGAGAGGAUAGUGGAAUUCCCAGUGUAGUGGUGAAAUACGUAGAGAUUGGGAAGAACACCAGUGGCGAAGGCGGCUAUCUGGACGGUUACUGACGCUAAGACUCGAAAGCGUGGGGAGCAAA